UACGGGGGGGGCAAGCGUUGUUCGGAAUUACUGGGCGUAAAGGGCUCGUAGGCGGCCAACUAAGUCGGACGUGAAAUCCCCAGGCUCAACCUGGGAACUGCGUCCGAUACUGGAUGGCUUGAAUUCGGGAGAGGGAUGCAGAAUUCCAGGUGUAGCGGUGAAAUGACGUAGAUAUCAGGAGGAACACCGGUGGCGAAGGCGGCGAUCUGGGAAGAUACUGACGCUGAGGUGACGAAAGCGUGGGGAGCAAACAGG
rnacentral:rRNA from 1 species